GCGUAGCUCAAAUGGACAGAGCGUCGAGAAAUGGCCGGGCUUGGUCAAGUAUCGAAAGUUGUCGGUUCGAAUCCGACCACAGGAGCA
rnacentral:tRNA from 1 species